AUAUUUUUCAUCAUUUAAAAAUAUUUUACAGUUUUGUCAUAGAUAUUUUACAUCUUCUAAAUCAAAUUUAUCUUAUACUUUGACUUUUCUGACAUAUUUCCUAUGAAGUUAUUUUUCACCACAGUAAUAUAAAGACCUUGACUAAAAUUAUCUAGUCAUCACACAAUUUUAUAAUUUAAAUUUGUAUCAUUAACACGUGUGAUAUAUUUUGCUAUAUGAUAUGUGAUGGAGCGCCAGCAUUUUUUAAAUUUAUCUAUAUUUGUUGCCAAUGAUCUAAAUAAAUUUUUUGUUUUAUUGAUCUGUCUUAUGUGAGAAUCUUAAAGUUUUAGUAAGUAUAUCUUCAAAUUCAUCUCCGGCAUCUUACACUUUUUUCCAGAACUUUCCCGA
rnacentral:lncRNA from 1 species